GUGUUGUAUGAAAGAAGAGAAGGUUAGCACUUUCCUUGACAAGGAUGGAAGAGGCUCUGGGACCCAACAACUCGCAUACGGUUAAGGUAUUGCCACCUGCUUCAUGGCAUCUAACCACUGUUUUUU
rnacentral:ncRNA from 1 species